GACUCAAGCAAUCGGGACCAGUGUUAGGGAAAAACUCUGCCCUUACUACCUAGAAAUGCCCCCUGACCUUCCCUAUCUCCUCCCAGGGCAGAAAUGUGUAGAAGCAGACAGGAUUCUGAUAGCGGUGACAUGAUUUUUAUGUGAUGCCCAAUUAACUGCGACUCUGAAGCCACUUUUAACACAUUUCUUCCGAUUUAUAAACCUGUUAGGAGCUUUGGAAGUUGAUUUCUAGGUUUAUAGAAUAACUAAUCUCUUUUGAGCUUGGAAACAUAAUUAACUAUUUCCUAGAAAAGAGUUUUAAAACCUGAUUACUUUCCCCAUCUCCACAUCUCUUUGAGGCUAGUUUAAAAUAUCAGAUUUCAAAUCAGGCGCGUGGAAUGAGUCGCUUUUUCGAGUUCAGUUGACGAGGCUGCACUUUGACAUGCUUUUCAAGAUCUGAAUAUUUUUAUAAAUCAUGAUUGUGCUACUGUCUAAUGAGGACAGAAGUGGAAAUAGCACCUGCUCGUCCGCCAUGGAGCGCCUCCCGGCCUGUGUGUGCUGUCUGGGAAAGCAGUGGCCCAGUCUGGAGAGCUGAUGAGCUCCUUGAUUAGCUGAAAUUGCUUCCUGCAGUAGUUUGGGGGUGUCGGUGUUGUGAUGAACUGGGUCAUCUCAGGGAUGCGGGAUGCAGGCACAGCUCUGAGACUCAAGAGUGGCUGACGGACCAGAGUUAAGUGCAAAACCUCCAGCUCUGCCCAGCGUGGACGCGUAGCCAGCUUCCCUUCUGGUGCAGGUUGGGAUCUUGGGUCCAUUCUCUGCUAGACCAUGAGCUUCUCCAGGGAGGACUAGGAGCUGAUACAAGUUGAACUGAACCUAAUCGAGAGGCACCGUAGCGACUGCUGGCGGCGGGGAAAGAGGUCACAGGCACGGGAGGUGGAUUUCAGAUGCCGUGGAGACGGCACUGCGGAGUGGACAGAGGGCAGCUUUGGGGCCACACCCUGCGUUCCAUUUUCCUUCAGCCCGAUCGCUGGUGUUCAGGUUGAAGAGCUUGUGUCAGCAAGAGUUUAAAUAACUUGGUGUUCUUUGUUUUCUAAGUUUUAGAACUUUGCAGCAUGUUCCUUUUCUUUCAAAAUUGCAAAGCUAGAAAUAUUUUUGAUUUUUAAACUGUUACCAUUUUUCUCUGGAAAACUCAUUGAUCUGGAGUUCCUUACCACCAUCACCCCGGCCCGAAGUUCCUCUCUAAAUAAUGGCUUACUGUAACUCUAAACAAGGAAAUGCCUAGGUCUUGGGUGUACGGUUCAAUCGGCUAUGCACUGACUGACAAAUGCAGACGUCCAAGUAACCCACAUCUUCAUCCACGAAAGGAACACUUCCAUCAGAAAGUUCCUUGUGCCCCUUCCCAGUCAACCUCCCUACUCCAGAAGCAGCCACUGAAGGGUUUGUUUUUAGCAAGUAUUUUCAUUUGAUGUUUUAAUUUAAAACAUCAAUUGCAUUUUGAAACUGAAAAGGGCUGCUUUCUCGGAGGAAUGUCGGUUGCUGGCUCCUGGGCACACGGUGUGCCCUACCGUGUGCCUACCGUAACCAGCCCAGGGAGACAUUCUUCAGAGGUUGCAGUGCCCCUGGCUCAAAAUUGGAGGGUGUCUCUGCACGACUCCAUACCUGGAAUCUCAGACAUUCGCAAUACCUGCAGAACAAUGUGGAUGGCAAGAAAAUUCAUUCUGUGCUUUUGCCGGGAUCGCUUGCAUGCAAUUGUGCCUGCUGUGCAGGAAGACUCCAGAUUAGACGGAGAGAGGGAGAGGCCUACUCAUCGGGCUGCAGAAUCAGCAGCGAACAGAUUUCUGCCCCAACAAAGAGAACAGUGUGUUCCUGAGACAUUGCUGUGUAGCUGGGAGGCUAGCUGGUGGGCGGCUCCUUGGGGAAGGAGUUGGGUAUUUCAGUAGCUUCCCCCACGCCCACCACUCCUUUUUUUUUUUUUUUUCCCCAGACUUUCUGGCUCCUGAGCAGGGGGUGACUCCCAUGGGACCUGGCAGAGGAUAGAGGUGGCUCUGGCUUCUGUGCCCCUUCCUCCCUCUGACCCUCACGAAAUAAAAGUCCUGCAAACCCACCUGUCUGCCAGGUGGGUUCCCCAUCUGUGUUCAGCCCUUCCGGCUCUUGUCACUAGCCUCAGGUGGUCAGGCCACCAUUCUGGCCACUUUGCUGCCUCUUUAGAUGCAGUGUGUGUCUUUUUAUUUAUUUAUUUAUUUUUGGCCCCGCCAUGUGGCAUGCGGGAUCUUAGUUCCCCGACCAGGAAUUGAACCCGCGCCCUUGGCAGUUGAAAGCGCAGAGUCCUAACCACUGGACCGCCAGGGAAUUCCCAGAUGCAAUGUGAGUCUUAUUCCUGUGAUGCUGGUGGCCACUCCACAUUCUUAUGGGGACUGUGCUGGGUUCCCAACCACCCCCCACCCUUGCUCUUCCGGUGAGUCAUCAUCAGGCUCUGCUAGGCACCGUGGACACUUCUAGAUAGAAUCAGCUAGGAUGCCGGCUUGCAAGACAAAAGUGAACAAAUACCCAGGCUGCGGCGUGGUUCAUGCCCCUUCGAGGUCAGGUCUCUCCCCUGCGGCCCUCUGCGCUGGACCUCUUUGGUUUGAUUAUUAAAACCCCAUCAGGAUUCAGGUGUUUGGGGGGUGACCAAGCUUAGAAAAAUUCUUUUUCUUUUUUUUUCUUCUCUUACCUAUAAUUGUAUUUUCCUCUUUAAUCAUAAGGAUUUAAAUCAGGAAAACUAGCCAGAGAACGAACGUAUGUGCUUUGUUUGAAUGUCUCAGUCGUGCCCUUUGCAAAAUUACCCCAAGGCAUGAGAAUUAAAGAUGUGAAUAAUUAAGAUGCAUGGGAUUGCAGCAGGUGAAGGCGGAGCAGGACUGGAGGUGCUCCCUUGAGGGAGAGCGCAGGACACAGCCCUGGACUGGGAUACAGGGGCUCUAGCCUGGUCCUCACUCUGCCUCUGUUGUCACUCUGACUGUUGACAAAUCAUUUUCUGGCCUGUGCCUCAGUUGCCCCAUUCGAGUGAGGGUUGGACUAAAAGGUCACUUCCAGCCUGACGCUCUGUGGCUCUGUAACUUCUUUGAUAUCACUGGUAACUUACGUAUUUGCCAUGAUCACUGCCACUUACACUGGUGAAUAUCUAGCAGGUUCUAGAGACUCAGCCCAGAAAAUACAGAAGAUGUUAUAGAAGUUAGUGCUGUCCCACCGACGGCUAUGGUUUUUGCAAACUCUGUGCAUCAUAACCAGCGCCCAGCAGCUCCGCCAGCCAUGCUCAAAUGGCGCGGCCUCAGCUAUCCACAAUGGAGGCAGCCAAAGGGGCUUCGGAGGCCCGUGGCCACAAAGCCCCUUCCCUAUGUUUUGUAGGAGCCUCCCCCAUCCAUGCAAGGCCGCAGGUGAGAAGUGAGGGCCCCGACCCCAGGAGGCAGCAGCUGCCAGUGAAGGAGGACGAGGAAGCAGACAGGAGAUCUCGGAGCACAGCACUGCAGCCUUGGUCCUGCACAUGUUGCUUUCUUUGUUUAAAAAAUGGAGCUAGCCUUCGAGGCCGUGUAAAUUAUAAAAUGCUUCUGUGUGCCUGCACCCUUCCCCCUCCUCCACUGGUAGCCUCCUACCAGCCCAAAAGAGUCCACUGGGCUGGGAGCAUCUCAGAAAAUCACUCGAUCUGAACCAGCCAGGGAGGCCUCGAGAGCAGGGCCAAGCCCUAUUCUUCUGGACCGUCCCUUCGGGCCUUAAGGCCAGAGGUCAUGUCAGGAGACCCUGGGGGCUUUGCCCCGUGACAGCUCAGGCCGGUAAUGCGUUUUCUUGAGAACAAUUCCAGGUCAUGGAAUGGAGGGAAGAGAAUAUCACGUUCCGUAUGCUCUACUCAGGGCCAAAAAAGUUUAUAAUACAUGUCACAAGUGCUUUUGUU
ensembl:lncRNA